rnacentral:misc_RNA from 1 species
CAUAUUGCUUAACCUUAAGCCUGGGGCAAAUUGCAAGUAAAGCACAGCUUAAAUCUAACACAUUAAAGUUUUCAUCUACAAACUUACCAAGAUUUGCUUAGAGUCUUGCUUGAGAUCCUACUUAGGGUAAGCGGUAGUGCUUAAGGUGCAACUCAAGUCAAGCUGGAAGCCAUACAUAAGCAGAAAAACUCAUUUUAUCCCAAUCCUGUCGAGAUUUGCUGAGGGUUUG